UACGAAGGGUGCAAGCGUUACUCGGAAUUACUGGGCGUAAAGCGCACGUAGGCGGCUUUGUAAGUUAGAGGUGAAAGCCCGGGGCUCAACUCCGGAAUUGCCUUUAAGACUGCAUCGCUAGAAUUGUGGAGAGGUAAGUGGAAUUCCGAGUGUAGAGGUGAAAUUCGUAGAUAUUCGGAGGAACACCAGUGGCGAAGGCGGCUCACUGGUCUGGUACUGACGCUGAGGUGCGAAAGCGUGGGGAGCAAACAGG
rnacentral:rRNA from 1 species